rnacentral:rRNA from 1 species
CCUACGGGGGGCAGCAGUGGGGAAUCUUGCGCAAUGGGCGGAAGCCUGACGCAGCGACGCCGCGUGCGGGACGAAGGCCUUCGGGUCGUAAACCGCUUUCAGCAGGGACGAGGCCCUCACGGUGACGGUACCUGCAGAAGAAGCCCCGGCUAACUACGUGCCAGCAGCCGCGGUAAUACGUAGGGGGCGAGCGUUAUCCGGAUUCAUUGGGCGUAAAGCGCGCGUAGGCGGCCUGUUAGGUCGGGGGUCAAAUACCGGGGCUCAACCCCGGUCCGCCCCCGAUACCGGCAGGCUUGAGUCUGGUG